rnacentral:tRNA from 1 species
GGAGAGGUGUCCGAGUGGUUUAAGGUGCUGCUCUCGAAAAGCAGUGUGGUGACGAGCCACCGCGGGUUCGAAUCCCGCCCUCUCCGCCG